GCCUUCCCUUCCUCCAUGGGACAGCUCAGUUGGUUAGAGCGUGGCGCUGAUAAUGCCAAGAUUACAGGUUCGAUCCCUGUAUGGGGCA